rnacentral:lncRNA from 1 species
UCAUCAAUAAUCAUCUUGAUGCUGUAGUUAUGUGACUAGUCUUUUUGACUUGUGGUGUCAUAGUUGCUCGCAGUAAGGCUACUGUAGUUUGACUACACAUAAGAAUUAAUUCGAUUAUGAGUCUUUAUAGUGGUGUUGGCUGCAGUUGGUUGAGCUGUGGGAGUAAGGUGUGCAUCUAGAUGGGAUCUAUCGACUUUGAUAGAAAGGAGUAGUCCUAUGAGAUUUGAGAAGUUGAGUCCACAAGCCUAUGGCCAUAGUAGUGUGAUUGAUGAAAAAAAUUUUCAUUUGGAAUCACUAUUGGACUUGGGCUGAUCGAAUC